rnacentral:rRNA from 1 species
UACGUAGGGUGCAAGCGUUAAUCGGAAUUACUGGGCGUAAAGCGUGCGCAGGCGGUUGUGCAAGACAGAUGUGAAAUCCCCGGGCUUAACCUGGGAACUGCAUUUGUGACUGCACGGCUAGAGUGUGUCAGAGGGGGGUAGAAUUCCACGUGUAGCAGUGAAAUGCGUAGAUAUGUGGAGGAAUACCGAUGGCGAAGGCAGCCCCCUGGGAUAACACUGACACUCAUGCACGAAAGCGUGGGGAGCAAACAGG